rnacentral:rRNA from 1 species
AGCGAACGCUGGCGGCAGGCCUAACACAUGCAAGUCGAACGGAUCCUUCGGGAUUAGUGGCGGACGGGUGAGUAACACGUGGGAACGUGCCCUUUGGUUCGGAACAACUCAGGGAAACUUGAGCUAAUACCGGAUGUGCCCUUCGGGGGAAAGAUUUAUCGCCAUUGGAGCGGCCCGCGUCUGAUUAGCUAGUUGGUGAGGUAACGGCACACCAAGGCGACGAUCAGUAGAUGGUCUGAGAGGAUGAUCAGCCACACUGGGACUGAGACACGGCCCAGACUCCUACGGGAGGCAGCAGUGGGGAAUCUUGCGCAAUGGGCGAAAGCAUGACGCAGCCAUGCCGCGUGAAUGAUGAAGGUCUUAGGAUUGUAAAAUUCUUUCAGCGAGGAAGAUAAUGACGGUACCCGCAGAAGAAGCUCCGGCUAACUUCGUG